ACGGGUGAGUAACACGUGACCAACGUGCCCCGCGCACCGGGACAGCCCCCCGAAAGGGGGAUUAAUACCGGAUACUCCGGCCGCCCCGCAUGGGGCGGCCGGGAAAGGCUCCGGCGGCGCGGGAUGGGGUCGCGGCCCAUCAGGUAGUAGGUCGGGUAGGGGCCGACCUAGCCGACGACGGGUAGCCGGGUUGAGAGACCGACCGGCCACAUUGGGACUGAGAUACGGCCCAGACUCCUACGGGAGGCAGCAGUGGGGAAUAUUGCGCAAUGGGGGAAACCCUGACGCAGCAACGCCGCGUGCGGGAUGACGGCCUUCGGGUUGUAAACCGCUUUCAGCAGGGAAGACAUCGACUGUACCUGCACAAGAAGCCCCGGCUAACUACGUGCCAGCAGCCGCGGUAACACGUAGGGGGCGAGCGUUAUCCGGAUUCAUUGGGCGUAAAGCGCGCGCAGGCGGCCGCCUAAGCGGGACCUCUAAUCCCGGGGCUCAACCCCGGGCCGGGUCCCGAACUGGGCGGCUCGGGUGCGGUAGGGGUAGGCGGAAUUCCCGGUGUAGCGGUGGAAUGCGCAGAUAUCGGGAGGAACACCGACGGCGAAGGCAGCCUACUGGGCCGUCACCGACGCUGAGGCGCGAAAGCCGGGGGAGCGAACAGGAUUAGAUACCCUGGUAGUCCCGGCCGUAAACGAUGCUAGCUAGGUGUGGGGGGACACGCCCCCCGUGCCGCAGCCAACGCAUUAAGCUAGCCGCCUGGGGAGUACGGCCGCAAGGCUGAAACUCAAAGGAAUUGACGG
rnacentral:rRNA from 1 species